AAGCGGCACCAUUUUUCUGGAACUCGCAGCCCGAGGAAUCGGAAGACUCGGCAAUUCGCCGA
rnacentral:sRNA from 1 species